rnacentral:rRNA from 1 species
UGGGGAGCAAACAGGAUUAGAUACCCUGGUAGUCCACGCCCUAAACGAUGCGAACUGGAUGUUGGGUGCAAUUUGGCACGCAGUAUCGAAGCUAACGCGUUAAGUUCGCCGCCUGGGGAGUACGGUCGCAAGACUGAAACUCAAAGGAAUUGACGGGGGCCCGCACAAGCGGUGGAGUAUGUGGUUUAAUUCGAUGCAACGCGAAGAACCUUACCUGGCCUUGACAUGUCGAGAACUUUCCAGAGAUGGAUUGGUGCCUUCGGGAACUCGAACACAGGUGCUGCAUGGCUGUCGUCAGCUCGUGUCGUGGGAUGUUGGGUUAAGUCCCGCAACGAGCGCAACCCUUGUCCUUAGUUGCCAGCACGUAAUGGUGGGAACUCUAAGGAGACCGCCGGUGACAAACCGGAGGAAGGUGGGGAUGACGUCAAGUCAUUAUGGCCCUUACGGCCAGGGCUACACACGUACUACAAUGGUAGGGACAGAGGGCUGCAAGCCGGCGACGGUAAGCCAAUCCCAGAAACCCUAUCUCAGUCCGGAUUGGAGUCUGCAACUCGACUCCAUGAAGUCGGAAUCGCUAGUAAUCGCAGAUCAGCAUUGCUGCGGUGAAUACGUUCCCGGGCCUUGUACACACCGCCCGUCACACCAUGGGAGUUUGUUGCACCAGAAGCAGGUAGCUUAACCUUCGGGAGGGCGCUUGCCACGGUGUGGCCGAUGACUGGGGUGAAGUCGUAACAAGGUAGCCGUAUCGGAAGGUGCGGCUGGAUCACCUCCUU